UUCUUCAAAAAUGGUAAUUUGCUCCAUAGCGCCACCUACAAUAUUCAAUUAGGCAGCCCCAUUAGGCAGCCCCGGUGCUACGUUUGACCUACAUGUAUAACGCUGGGUAGGUAUAUGUAACACAAGUAGACGGAAAGAAAAGUCUCUUGGCACCAUGCUCUAAACUGUACCGGAUGUCGCCAAUAUUGAUUUCUGUUUCACUAUGUUUGUGCAAAGCUCAUCUCAUUUCCACAUACAGGUAUUCACCUGCGUUUCAUACUCCAGGCCAGCAGGUGGCGGUAAUGCACCAAAUAUAUGGAUGCAACUCGCUUUUAUACAUCAAGAAGCAGACGAACAAUAACACAGCGUGCUGACGCCGGCUGAUACUCCAGGCCAGCAGGUGGCGGUAAUGCACCAAAUAUAUUGAUGCAAACCGCUGUUUAGAGCAGAAGAAGUAUCACACUGCAGCUUUGCCGGCCUGGUCUGCAGUCUGCUCCGUCUGAGACGACACUAUGGAGAUGUUUGGACUGCAGUAUAAUGAGCAUGGUUGCCCCCAGUUCCUGUGGACUGGGACCAGCACAGGACCAAGACUGCCCGACCUCCUCCAGAGCAGUGCAUCCACUGCACAGUCAUCGUAAUGGACGUGGCACUAAGGAGGAUUGUCCAGCCGCAGAUGACGCUGAAGAACCGUUACAAGCCGCUAACACCAGUCUGCUUCAGCAGCUUGGUUGAAAUGGAGAUUGGAUGAUGCACUGUGCCCAACUAAUCAUACACGUGAUGCCUUGAGAGGUCGGGGUCAGAUUGUAUUCACCUGCGUUUCAUACUCCAGGCCAGCAGGUGGCGGUAAUGCACCAAAUAUAUGGAUGCAACUCGCUUUUAUACAUCAAGAAGCAGACGAACAAUAACACAGCGUGCUGACGCCGGCUGAUACUCCAGGCCAGCAGGUGGCGGUAAUGCACCAAAUAUAUUGAUGCAAACCGCUGUUUAGAGCAGAAGAAGUAUCACACUGCAGCUUUGCCGGCCUGGUCUGCAGUCUGCUCCGUCUGAGACGACACUAUGGAGAUGUUUGGACUGCAGUAUAAUGAGCAUGGUUGCCCCCAGUUCCUGUGGACUGGGACCAGCACAGGACCAAGACUGCCCGACCUCCUCCAGAGCAGUGCAUCCACUGCACAGUCAUCGUAAUGGACGUGGCACUAAGGAGGAUUGUCCAGCCGCAGAUGACGCUGAAGAACCGUUACAAGCCGCUAACACCAGUCUGCUUCAGCAGCUUGGUUGAAAUGGAGAUUGGAUGAUGCACUGUGCCCAACUAAUCAUACACGUGAUGCCUUGAGAGGUCGGGGUCAGAUUGUGAGUACUCCUCUGUUUUCCUGAUCCGAUGUGAGGUCAAAGGUCAGGGAUGUCUAUGUGUCCAGAUUGUAAUGCACUCCGAGACAAAUUUGUAAAUUGUGAAAAUGGGCUAUACAAAUAAACUGAAUUGAAUUGA